GCGUUAUCCGGAAUUAUUGGGCGUAAAGAGUGCGUAGGUGGUUUUGUAAGCGCGGGGUGAAAGGCAAUGGCUCAACCAUUGUAAGCCUUGCGAACUGCAAGACUUGAGUGCAGGAGAGGAAAGUGGAAUUCCUAGUGUAGCGGUGAAAUGCGUAGAUAUUAGGAGGAACACCAGUGGCGAAGGCGACUUUCUGGACUGUAACUGACACUGAGGCACGAAAGCGUGG
rnacentral:rRNA from 1 species